rnacentral:rRNA from 1 species
GUGGGGAAUCUUGCGCAAUGGGCGAAAGCCUGACGCAGCCAUGCCGCGUGAAUGAUGAAGGUCUUAGGAUUGUAAAAUUCUUUCACCGGGGACGAUAAUGACGGUACCCGGAGAAGAAGCCCCGGCUAACUUCGUGCCAGCAGCCGCGGUAAUACGAAGGGGGCUAGCGUUGCUCGGAAUUACUGGGCGUAAAGGGCGCGUAGGCGGACAGCGUAGUCAGAGGUGAAAGCCCAGGGCUCAACCGUGGAAUUGCCUUUGAUACUGGCUGUUUUGAGUGUGGGAGAGGUGAGUGGAACUCCGAGUGUAGAGGUGAAAUUCGUAGAUAUUCGGAAGAACACCAGUGGCGAAGGCGACUCACUGGCCCAAUACUGACGCUGAGGCGCGAAAGCGUGGGGAGCAAACAGGAUUAGAUACCCGGGUAGUCC